rnacentral:lncRNA from 1 species
AUGUACAUGCUCAAUCAUCUAGUAUGCAACGCGAUGUUGCAGUGUAACACAUGACCAUUACUGUUGUUUGAGCUUUGAACUGAUGAUUUGAAGUUGAAACAUUUGGAUUAACACUUGGAUAUGAAAAAAAUCCACUGUUGUUGUUUGAGCUUUGAUUGACUGAUCCGGAUGAGUUUUCUGCACUGAAAGCAGUUUGGAUCUUUGGACUAGCUUCAACAUUUUGAACAUUACCUUUGUAGUACAUCUUGAUGUCUUGUUGACCGCUUGAAUUGUUCAUUGUAGCAAUCUUUUGUUGCUCAAGAUCUUGUCCCUCAAGUUUCUCAAUAAAUUGUGCAAUCGAAAAUCUACUAUACUUUUCGGAAUUCUUUAAAAUCAUGAGAUAUGUACCCCAUUCUUUUUGAGGUAACGCAUCGACUAAUUUCUCAACCCAUUCCUCUAGAGUUUUAGUAAUUUCCAAUCGAGACACUGAACGCACUAGAUGAUAAUAUCUCUCAAUGAGAGUCUUUGUAGUUUCUCCUGGCACACUUGUAAACAGAUCAAAUUCUUUCUUCAAUAAUGAUUUUUUACUCUUGAUCAUCUCUGCACUUCCUUUGAAUUUUUUGCGAAGUGCAUCCCAAAUUGAAUAAGCACUACUAUCAUGUUAAAGUAAUAUGAAAAUAUCUUCUUUCACAGUUUGUUGAAGUAAACUGACCAUCAUUUUUUCUGCCUUGUACAUAUCUCUCUCUUUAUCUGAAAAUUCUGAGAUAAUCUUUGCAACUCUCAAAUCAGACAGUGGUCUAGCAUACUUUGUUUCAAUAUGUUGGGAUUGAACCCUAUCAGAGGAACAGAUAAUGAAAGCCAAAACCGGAUCACAAAAAUGGAUUCACAAUAAGCAGCUGUUUACUAUAAGCUUUCCCCUUGACUAUGACUCCAACAUCUGAUAUACUCCAACAUGUUUGUUAGAAACGUUCGUGAAAAGCGUUAGUUUGGAAGCAAUUUUCUAAUUGUUUAGUUUCUAACGUGUGUAUUAGAAAUGACUUAUUUAUUUGAACCAUAUAUAUGUUUUUAGCAACUUGAAUUAACAUUUUGUGGAAAUGUUAAUAUUUCUAACGUGCACGUUAAAAUUUCUUUCAUUUUAACAUGAUUGUUAAAAAUGAUUAAAAUACAAAUGCUUUGAAAUGUUUUAUGUAAACAUUUUAUAUAAGUAAUUUGUUGUAGUAUUGAUUUUAAUGCUUUGUAUGAUUUAGAAAUAAAAGGUCAUACAUUGAAGUUGAUGUUUGAUUCACUUCAAGAAUUUAAUCACCAUAAAGUGAUGGUGUAGUUGUGUGUGAUUUAUCACCAACUUUAAUUUGUGAUUUUUAAUCCAUUUAAGUGAAAUUAUAAUUACUAAUUAAACUUUUCAUAUGAUGAAACUCUUGAGUAGAGUUUUUAUGUCACUUUAUUAGUUUUUAUUAGAGUUUAUGUCUCUAAUAAAUCUCUAAUUAAGUGAAACUCUUGAGUAGAGUUUUAAUAAUGACAUUUGAUGAGUUUUAUUGGAGUUUAAGACUAUAAUUAUUGAGAUUCUUAACUCUUUAGGCUACAAGGUAUGGUGAUGGUCCUCCAAUGGAGGAUGAUCCGCCACGUAGGCGUCACGUCAUAGUCCUCCCAAGGAUGCUCCAUCCCCCAAAAGUAGAGGGUAUGGGAGGAUGGUCCUAGUCAUAGUCCUCCCACCAUUUUUAUGUUUUUUUUUAAUCUUCUACUUUUUUUAACAUUUAACAAAUAAACUAACAAAAUAUUUUUAUUAAUUUAAAAAAAAACAAUGACUUAAUAAAAAAACAUAGACUUAAAUAAUUUCUAAAUUCAAAAAUAAAGAACUUUAGGAACCAAACUAGAAUUUGAUCUAAAUCAAAGGGACCAUAUGUGUAAUUUACAAAGAAUAAAGAAAGAAUCUGUCUAAAUCAGGGGGGCCAACCACUC